rnacentral:tRNA from 1 species
GCCGGCGUAGCUCAACUGGCAGAGCGGCUGAUUUGUAAUCAGCAGGUUGCCGGUU